rnacentral:lncRNA from 1 species
GUCUGGGCUGAAUUUAUUCAGGAAGCCUGUAGUUUUGCAGCCUCCUGGGGUAAUGAGGAGUCAAGGUGGGGUUCCAGAAGAAGUCCCUCUGGGACUUGAAAGAUAAGGUCUUUCUUGCUAGGAAGAGUCAAAUGCCCAGGUUGGAGACCAGGCUGGCCAAGGGCCCUUGUAUGUGAUGGGGGUGGGCUCAGGAAUGAUAGAAGGAUCCUCUAGAAGGAUUGGCCCUGAGAUAGGGGAGGGAUAGAGAUGGGGGAUGUGAGACCAUCUCUGAUGCCAAGGCUGGGGCUGAUUUAUCCUCCCCUAAAUCAAGACAUGCUACUGGGCGUGGUGGCACAUGCCUGUAAUCCCAGCGGCUUGGGAGGCUGAGACAGGAGGAUAGCGAGUUCAAAGCCAGCCUCAGCAAAAGCAAGGCGCUAAGCAAUUCAGUGAGACCCUGUCUCUCAAUAAAAUACAAAAUAGGGCUGGGAAUGUGGCUCAGUGGUCGAGUGCCCCUGAGUUCAAUCCAUGGUUACUCCCCACCCCCCACAAAAAAAAGACAUGCCCAUUCCCACCUAUCAGCCUGAUUUUCCUGAACUGGCCUGGAACAGAGCAGGGGGCGAGGCUUGUGAUUCCCGUAAGUCCAAAGGUGGCUGGACCAGUCAUUCAUUGGGCUCUGCUGCUGGGUCAAGGAGGCAGUCCUCUGUCCACCCCACCACACCUGCUGAGCCUCAGGGCUUCACGGUCCUGUCCACUAUUGUUGGCAAUACCCGACCAACCUGAGAAAGGCUGACCAAACGGACAGCAGGCUGGGUAGGCUCUCUGGUGUGGGAGCCCUUCCGAGAGGCUCAGGACAGGCUUCCCACCGUAGUGGCCCUGGAGCUAGCCUGACAGAUUUCUUCCACAGAGGGCCAGGCCUUGUACUCAGCAUUUAUAAAGACUGUCUUUUUUGGUUCUCACAAUCCACAUGGGAGGAGGCGGGGACUUCUGCCACCAUUUUCCAAGAUAAGGCAGGUACCUGAGGCCUCCAGCCAAGAGGCAGAGCCUAGAUGCAAACCCAUGUCUGAUGAACAAUGCAAGCCCUAGAAGAAUGAGAACUCUUUAACAACUCCCGAUGAACCAAACUGUCCUUAGUGAAUGAAAUGGGAAGACCUAGAAAUGACAAAGGCGAAAACAGUUGGAGGGAAUCCCAUCCUUCAGAUUGUGUUUUUAGUGUGCAUCCUGGUUCUGUAGCUUGGCUGAGUCAGGGUAUGUGUGGGUAGGAUUCCAC